CAAAAUUUAAUAGAAUAACUUUUUGUUGUAUCACAGAUAUUAAAAUUACAUAAGCAAAUGAUUAAGGCUUAACAUAAAAACAAAUCUUAGGCUAAAGCAUAUUGGUCCCUUGAGCUAAAAAUUCCUGCUCCGACCCUCUAUAUAUAGAAGUGAAGAACUCGCAAUGAGUAAAACAUAGAACAAACCACGCUACAUCGUUUUACAGUGAAGUAACUAAAACAAAUCACAUUUUAUAAUCCAUUUCACCGACUACUUAAUACUGCAAGGACAUGGAGAGCCCCUUCGUACAUAAAUCGGAGUCGGACAAGUUCUACAUCCCGCUGGAGCAGCUAGUGUUCCUCCACUUGGUGGUGUGGGCACGUUGCAUACAUAAUAUUUACCUUCCCUGUGGCAUGAUCUGGGAUAUUGCUUGCCUGUGCCAGGACUCACAGGAAACCUAUUGUAAAGACCAUUACGUUCCACUGCAGCAUGUUUUAAGAUGGGUCAAAUGAAAUUCAUGAAUGGAUGAAAUUGAUCUUCCAUUUAUGUGAUUAAAAAUCUUUAUGUACAUAAAAAAAAAUACUUAUGUUAUAAGCAACUUUAAAAGGAAUCUCCCUUUGGUGAAAGAGACAUUAAUUAAAUUAGCAAGUUGUUGUUAACACUAGUGUGUAUCUAAGAAGAGAGAAUAAUACAAUCGAAAUCGUCUUACCUAUAUGAAGUUCUCGAGCUGAAAAAGCGAAGGGAAGGACCAAAGCAGAGGACAAGAGGAAACAGAUAAAGAGGGAGGCCUUCAUUUUGGGGAAGUAAUGAUGUACUUUCUCAUUUCCCCACUUCUAUUUAUAGACCUUUAGUGCAAGCUUGGGUCCCUUCGGUGCAAUAUUUUAUUUGAAAAUUAUGACUUUACUAGGAGGUUUCGUUUGGGUAUCUUUCAAAAAAAAAAAAAAGGAGGUUUCGUUGUGGUGUCAAAGGGAGCAAGGGACCCGCUUCAUAAUCACCAUUACACUCACUCAACAGCACAAGUUAAGGUUAUUUAUUGUACUAUUUUAAAAACCAUUUUUUAUAUAUAACACAUUAUUUUCAUCAAAUUUAAAAUGAGGUGACACAUUACUUAUAGUUUUUACUAUAAAUAUAAUUUUAACGGUAGAAAAUAUUGAAGAUUUAAGUAAAGAAUUAAAUUUUUUGAUGAUAAAAUAAAGAAUUACAUAAAGAGCGAUUUAUAAUAGUCAAUUAAACCUAAACUUAGUGUGUAAGUAAAAUAAAUAGCAAAUAAAGAAGUAUUUUAAUCCUUAAUUUUUUUGGAAUGCAAGUAAAGUAAAAAGAAAAUAAAAAAAUAUUCUGCUCGAGAUAUUUCUAGAAUUAAUAAUUACCGCUCAAGCUGACACUCUCCUCAAGUUGGAGCAUAGAUAUUACCCCAGAUCCUUUAAUUCAAAUUUAAUAGUUAAAUAUUCCUAUAAUAUUUUCAUUUCGCAUGGUUCAUCUUCCAUCAAGACCAUAUCAUCAACAUACAUGAUUAAAGCUAUUACCUUCCCUUAUUUGUGUUUUAUAAACAAAGUAUAGCCUGAGUUACUUUGCUUAUAACCAAAUAUUUUCAUUAUAGAAGAAAACCUCCCAAGCCAAGCUCUAGGUGAUUGUUUCAGCCCAUAUAAUGACUUUUUCAAUUACAAACUUUCUUUCUACGCAAAGAACUGUAUUUAAUUCCUGGUGGUAAUUCCAUGUAGACCUCUUCCUUUAAGACUCCGUUUAGGAAAGCAUUUUUAACAUCAAAUUAUUGUAGAGGCCAAUCUUGAUUUGCUGCUAUAGAUAUGAGAAUGCAAAUUGUAUUGAUCUUAGCUACUGAUGCAAAAGUCUCUUGAUAAUCCACCCCAUAUGUCUGCGUAUACCCCUAUGCAACUAACCUUGCUUUAUAUUUGUCAAUACUGCCGCCUGCAUUGAGUUUCACCGUGAAUGUAUACCCAUUUGCAUCCAAUCAUUUUCUUUCCUUUGGAUAAGGGAACUAGUUUCCAAGUGGCAUUCUUUUGCAAAUCCUCCAUUUCUUCAUUCAUCACCUUGGUCCGAAUCUUUCAAUGCAUCUUGCAAACUACUAAGAAUAGAUACAGUGGAUAAUUGAUUAAUAGUGAGUGCAUACGAUUUAGACAAUUUAUGGGAGGACACAUAGUUGCUAAUUGGGUAUUUUACCUUAACUUUAGAAUCAGAUUCAUAUUGUUUCUUUAAGACUCCCUUAUUCGAUCUUGUAGAUAUUUAUGAAUUAUACUUUCACUAGGAUGUGUUUCAUGGGACUUAUCAGAUGUAAAAUUUGAGAUUUCAUGGGACUCAUUAGAUAUUGGAUUUGGGAUUUCAUGAGGUUGAACAUUCUGGGUUGAUUUUUUAGUUAAUAUCGUAGGCAUAGGCAAUUCUAAAGACUCUAUGACAAAAACACCUGAAUCACUUGCAAGAAGAACUAACAGGUCACUCUCAAUGUCAGGAAUACUAUCGCAACAUUGUUGAACAUUUUCCCAAAAUGUUCAUUCACUUCCUCUAAUUCUAUAAACUCCUCUCCUCCACUAUCUUGUUUUAACGCAUUCUCUUCACUAGAGUUCCCCCUGGAGAGAAGGCAUAGAGACUCAUCUUGAAUAAUAAGGUUCUAAUUACAACUUAUACUGACAUUGAUUGAUAUCUAUACAUCAAAAUUAACAUUUUUUUUAAUCCAAUAAUCUAAUCAAUGAAAUUCGAAAAGGAUAUAACUCAGUAUUUAUCUAAUUUUAUUCUAUUAACAUAUCAAAAUUCAUUGUCUAAAAAGCAAAUGGGAACAAAUGGUAGUGAUAUUUUUCGAUAUGAAAUAAUUACUUCUCAUCGCGUAUUGAAAGAUUUUAUCUAUAAAAAAAGAAAAUCUAACUAGCAAACCGGUUCAAACUAGAAAGAUAGAAAACAAUAUCUUACAAUCCAAACUACAGAACACAUGCAUCAUUUAUAUGUUAUCCUAAAUUUGUUAGUAUUAGGAGAAUUAUUGCUUGGGACAACCGCGUGUGUAAACUCCAACACAACAGGGGCAUGUCGAUUGCAAAUUAAGCCAUCCUUUCCCAGGUGGUAGUAAAGGAAUAUUGCAUAUAUAUAUAUUCAUUCUUUUUUACCUUAUUGGAGUUUUCUUUGGAGAUUUUGUUCCUGCUGUAGCAUUAUAUGAAAUAUGAAAAAAUUGAAAAAAAAUUAUAUAACUUAUAAUAUGUAAAAACACUCGUAUCUCGUAUCAAAUUUAAUGUAUACAUUGUCUAAAUUUAUGCAAGGAGAUAAAAUGAUUAAUAAACUGAUUUCGUGCUUAGUUAACUCUUCAAUUUCCUAUUUAACUAUAUUUACAGAAGAUUUGUUUUAGUGGAAUAUUUUUAGACGUCCCAAAUUAAAAUCAAUGGCAGGGAUCUAAUUUCCAUAGAUAACUCCAAAACUUUGGAGGCAUGGACCCAUGGAAUGAGAAAGGACUGGUGAGUGGGCUAGAGUCGUUUCCCAACCAACCGACCCAAGGCAAAAAUGAGAAAAUGAAAAGCAUCAAAGGCAGGAGCCGACGGGUUGUUGCCUUUCCUCUUUUCUAAAGUCUAAAUAUAAUUUGCUUAAAUAAAUUUUGGCACAAUGAAAGAAAAAAAUAAUAAAUUGAUGUUUUUAAACGUUAAAAAAUUUUAAAUAUAAUAUUUAAAAUAUUUUUAAAUUAUAAAAAUUUUAAAUAAAAUUUUUUAUUUUAAUUCGAAUAAAUUUUAAUAAUUAAUAGUUGACUAACUGUUAUUAAAAUGAGAUCACACAUUACUUAUAAUUUUUGCUAUAAAUAUAAUUUUAACCGAUAUCUAUAUACCUCAACUAACAUUUUCUUUUUAUUAUUCGAGAAUCUGAUUAACAAACUUUAAAAAGAUAUAACUUGAUCCUUUUCUAUUAACAUAUCAAAAUUCAUUUUCCUAUUUUAUUCUAUUAAUAUUACGAAUUAUCAAAUCAAGGUAUAUUAAUGAAUGCAGAUUCAGAUUUAAAAAAUUAAUGCUUAUUGUGACAGCAAUUAGACUGGAUGCCUUGAUUCUCGAAAGUCAGUAACAAGGUUUAGCAUUUUUCCUAGUAAUUUUCUUGGUUAGUUGGAAAUCUAAGAAGCAAUCAGUAGUAGCUCAAAGCUCUUCUAAAGCUGAAUAUUGGUUAAUAGCAUCAGCCUGUUGUGAAGUGAUUUAGUUGAAGAAUCUUUUGACUGAUUUUGGUUUCAAUCAAGACACAACAGUGAGACUUUAUUGUGACAAUCAAUCAACCAUUCACAUUUGAAAAAAUCCAAUCUUUCAUGAGCAAACAAAACAUAUUGAAAUGGACUACCACUUUAUAAGAGAAAAACUGCUUACAAAGGUCAUUGACCCUACUUAUAUUUCUUCAGAAGAACAAGUAGGAGAUUUGUUCACCAAGGCCUUAUAGCCAAAGCAGUUCCACAAAUUACUUAGCAAGAUGCAUGUUCAAAACAUACAUGUGCAACUUGAGGGGGAGUAUCAGCUAGGGAAGAUGAGUACAGAUUAAAAGAAGCUUGGUUGAUUGAGAUCAAAGCAUAACGCUGUUGAAGGUAUGCUUUGCAAAAGUAAAACAGGGUAAAAGAAGAACUCAUGCGACUCUCAUAUGACUUGUGGAUUUUAAAUACACGUGCAUAUUUAUUUUAAUUAACUACUUUUAUUGCUUUUACUGUUAUAAGACUGUUAAUAUUAAUUAAUUGAAAAUUAACUUAAUUAAAAACUUUUCAUUAUUGUUAUUAGUGAGUUAGAAAUAGGGUAUAAAAACCCUCAACUGUUUUCAUUUUUUUUAACGAAAAUUCAUCAUAAGUUUCCAGCAUUAGUCAAGUACUUUUCUGUUCACUCUCGACUUCACAUAUUGAUGAUUGACUAGGAGAGACCUUCUACGCGUAUCACUGGACCAGAAUAAUUAGUAUAAUUUAAAAAUAAAAUAAAAUAAAGGAAAGGAAAAGAAAGAUUCCAUGUGGAUAGAAAACUUUUAGUAGUUCACACAUAUAUUGACGCUGACAGUGUCUCUUUUUGGUGCUUGACAGUAAUCAAACUUCCGCUUUUUAAGAAAAACAUGGUCAUAUAUGUUACAGGGAAAAGACUCGGUAUCUACCCAUUUCUCCUUUUGGCCUUUGACUUAGACUCGGGGUAUAAUAAUUAACAGAACAUUGAACCAACAAGAAUAAGACAGAGAAGUAAACGGGAAACACAUGGUAAUUUAUUAGGAUAAUUUUUUUUUUCGAAUCUUCACUUUAAAAUGAAUAAAACAUAGUAAUCUGAGAUGUAAUUUAGAUAAUAAAAAAAUCUUUAAAAAAAUAAUUUUGUAAAAAAAUUUGAGUAUACACUGAGAUUAAAGUUAGAUAAUUGUCAUAUAUUCAUUUAUCCAUUAAUUGAUAUCUGAUUAUCGAUAUUCAUAGAUACAUCAAUUUUUAAUUUUGAUUAUAACAUUUGAAAAUUUUAAUGACAAUCUACAGGAUUAUUUUCAAAUAUUAAAAGAAAGAAAUGUAAAUCUGUUUGUCAUUUAAGUUUUCUCAGAUAAAACAAUUGAAAAUUUUGAAACUAAUAUCAAACUAAAAAUUCAAUAACAAUUUUAAGUAAUAGUAUACUACAUGAUUUUGAAAUUAAAUUCAAUAAAAAUUUACUGAAUGUUUAAUUUUUAAUAGCUAUAUCACAUGAUUUCGAAAGUAUAAAUUCAAUGCUAAUAUUUUAAAACUAAAAAUUUAACAUUUACUUUUAUCGCCUUCAGUUGAGGUUAAUUAUGGAUAGGGGGAAAUGUUUUACGCACCGUGGUGAGCUGUGCUUGGAAAUGCUUCUUCUGUGAGUACGGCACUUUCAUGGUGUUCUGCUUUAAUGACCAGUGCAGGCCUUUUUUCAUGGUCAGAGGACCCCUGAUCUGGUCUUAUGGCUCUACAUCCGCAGUUGCUGAGUUUUGCUUCUUUUUUUUUUUUUCUGGAUGCUUCUUCCUUCAUGGGUUCUUAUCUACAUGUGUUGUAAAUUUUUAUUAAAUUGACCACUGUUACUCUAUUCAAUAUGAAGUUNUCUUGAGUUUUCUUUUUUUUUUUUUUCUGGAUGCUUCUUCCUUCAUGAGUUCUUAUCUGCAUGUGUUGUAAAUUUUUAUUAAAUUGACUACUGUUACUCUAUUCAAUGAAGUUAGUCAAAGUAAAAAGGAUUUAAUUGAUUUAAAAUCAAAAUGUAAAACUUUAAUUAAAUUAAAAAUAUAAAUACUAUAUCCAAACAUUUAACUUAUUAGUUGAUGUAUCAUCUCUUACUUACAAAACAUAAUUCUAAUAUCUUUUUCUCUAAUUAAAAAAAUAUAAAUACUUAAUUAACUUUUCUUAUAUAGUUUAGGAUAUCAUUAUGUCAGCAAUAAAGAAAUUCUGAAAAAAUCAAAAUAUAUUUUCAAAAUUUAUUUAAAUAUUAUGUCGAAAUUGAUAUACCUCAUUAUUGGGCGCAUUGAGGACGAUUUUGUAACUUUUCUCAAAUUUUGUAGUGACUGAAAGAUAAUAAGAGGUAUGAAAAAGAAAGGGUUCCUUUCAAAAAUAUCCUUCAUAUAUAAGAUAUUGUUAGGAUAGUCUUGAAUUGUGAUUUAAUUAGUAUUAUUUAAUUCUAAUUAAAUUAGUAUACCUUAUUAAAAUAGUCUUUAAAUCUAGUUAGACUAGAAUAACAAUUCCUAAUUAUAUUAGGAUAAGAUUCUUAAUUAUAUUAGGAUAAGGUUAUUGUAUUUGACACUAUAAAAGGACCCUAUGGAUUAAAGAAUAAUCAUCACCUAAAUUUAGAGAGAGUGAUUUAGGUGUACGUGGCAUAAGAGUUAUGAGUUUGAGACUGUUCUUGUAAUCUCCUGAUUUUUCUCUUAGUGAAUUUUUCUCUGUUGCUGUGCCCGUGGAUGUAGGUCAUCAAAAGACCGAACCAUGUAAAUUCUUGUGUUCUUGUGGGUGUGCUUGAUUUCUUUUUUUCUUUAUUCUAUUGAUUGGGUUAGAUCUUGGGCAAUUCUUUAGAAACAAUUCCACAAUUCCACAAUUUCUCAACAGAUAUUUUUGAAAAUAAUCUUCUUUAUAAUUUGAACUAUUUUUAGUCAAAAAAAAUUAAUUUUGAACAAAAUUACCUUUAAUAAAAUCGACCCAUAUAUUUUGGUCCGCGUUUCAAAUCGACUGAUAUCCUUUGACUUUUUCUCUCCAAACCAUUUAUCUUUGGAGUAUUCCUUGCCAAAAAUUUUUUUAAGCAUUUUGAGCAUUUUAUAGUGGUUUUUGAUGCACAAAGAAAAUUCUUUACGUGUUUUGAGUAUUUUUAAGUAUUUUGGAGUGAUUUUUGAUACAUGAAGAAAAACCUUUGAGCAUUUUGAGCAUUAUUCGUCAAAUAAGUAUAUUCGUUAAUUAUAUUGUUAAAUAGAAUAUGGUGUAUUAUUUGAAGUUGUUGAUUUUGUUAAAUGAAAUUUAGUAGUUUUUUUUAUUUUUAGGCAUUACGUAAUCAAUUUUUGGGCAUUAGGUGACUAGUUUUUAGCCAUUACGUGAUUGAUUUUUAGGUAUUGCGUAACUGGUUGAUAUGACAUACGUGACUGAUUGAUAGGCAUUACAUGACAAGUUAGUAAGGUAUUGUAUGACUAGUUUUUAAGUAUUGUGUGACUUAGGUAUUGUCUAAAAAUCAAUCACACAAUACCUAAAAACCAAUCACUUAAUGCCUAAAAAUUAGUCUCGCAAUACUUAAAAACCAGUGAUAUAAUACUUAAAAACUAGCAAUGCAAUACCUAAUAACUAAUUGAUUUGCCUGCUCGCAGUCAGGUUUAAGUUUUCAAAAUCAUAUAGUGUUCUAAUUUAUAGAUAUGUUUAAUCAAUUUCAACUCCUUAACUUUGGAGUUUUAUAAUAAACCAAUAAAACCAAAAACCUAAAACACAAACCUUGAUAUCAUCUCUACUCUUUAGGAUGGUGAGAAAGAGCUCGAUGGCGAGAUAGAUAGUAUUUGACGAGAGAGAGAAAUCAAGAUUUAAUUUUAAAAUUUUUGUCCGGAUGGCGGGAUAAAGAAAACCGAAACUAUUUUAAUUUACCUGAAAUUAUUUAACAAGUAUUGUUAUCAAGUCAUGUUAAAAAUUAAUUGAAAAUAAUUAAAAUUAUAAUUAAAGAUAUUUGUGAAUUGAACCUAUGAGUAGAGUUAUUUUUUCAUAAUUUUCUCAAAAAGAAAAUCGAAAAAGGAUUGCAAAGUAACUGCUGGAGCACAUUUUUUCUCCUUGUACUUAUCCUUAUAUCACCCUUUUUGUUGACCAGUGAUCUUUUGUUGGCUGCAUGUUGUUGUUGUUGUGUGCUCCGGGUUUUGGUCACGGGUUGAUCGCUUGAGUCAUUUCUUUAUUCUCUGGUGCUUUUAGUUGAUUCGUGUCCAUAUGGGACUGCUCCUUUUGAUGGCUCGGUUGCUCAGAUUCUCUGCUCCCAUGAUGGAACAGACUCCUCUGAUUUUGUGCCUUGUCUGUGUUAUGAGUUGAUGAUUCUGGGUUGAUAUCUUAUGCUCUUGUCUGUGGAUGAGUGUUCUGUUUUUCUUCACAACCUUUUCCCUGACAGGAGGUGUACAGGGUUUUUUGUUUCAUACAGAUCUCAUGGUGGGUGUUGGGCUGUGAAUUCCAUGUGUUGCUCAUCGCUGAGCUCCUGAUAGGGUGGGGGCUUUUGAUAUUUUUGGGCCCUGUUUUUUUAUCCCUUCAGGUUGUUGAGAGUAGUAAUAUGCAGCCGCAAGUCUGUCUUUUUCUCCUCUUCCAUACUUGCCGCAGCAUCUUUUUUAUCAGGUGGAAUGAAUAUACUUAGCUGCUUUUAAAAAAAAAAAUCUCUCUUACUUAUUUUUAUUAUGGUUUUUGCGCAUAUAUAUGUUAUUAUCUUCAGUCUUUUUUUUUCACUUUCAUAAAUUUCAUUUUUUUCUUAUGUUUUACGUAUACAUAAACCUUAUAACAACAUGUAUAAAAUAAAUAUAUUAAAUUUAACGCAAAAUUUAAUAGAAUAACUUUUUGUUGUAUCACAGAUAUUAAAAUUACAAAAGCAAAUGAUUAAGGCUUAACAUAAAAACAAAUCUUAGGCUAAAGCAUAGUGGUCCCCUUGAGCUAAAAUCCCUGCUCCGACCCUCUAUAUAUAGAAGUGAAGAACUCGCAUGGAGUAAAACAUAGAACAAACCACGCUACAUCGUUUUACAGUGAAGUAACUAAAACAAAUCACAUUUUAUAAUCCAUUUCACCGACUACUUAAUAGUGCAAGGACAUGGAGAGUUCCUUGGUACAUAAAUCGG
rnacentral:lncRNA from 1 species